AACGAACGCUGGCGGCAUGCCUAACACAUGCAAGUCGAACGAGACCUUCGGGUCUAGUGGCGCACGGGUGCGUAACGCGUGGGAACCUGCCCUUAGGUUCGGAAUAACUCCCCGAAAGGGGUGCUAAUACCGGAUAAUGUCUUCGGACCAAAGAUUUAUCGCCUUUGGAUGGGCCCGCGUUGGAUUAGCUAGUUGGUAGGGUAAAAGCCUACCAAGGCGACGAUCCAUAGCUGGUCUGAGAGGAUGAUCAGCCACACUGGGACUGAGACACGGCCCAGACUCCUACGGAGGGAAGGAGGGGGGAAUAUUGGACAAGGGGCGAAAGCCUGACCCAGCAAUGCCGCGUGAGUGAUGAAGGCUUUAGGGUUUUAAAGCUCUUUUCCCCGGGAUGAUAAUGACAGUACCGGGAGAAUAAGCCCCGGCUAACCCCG
rnacentral:rRNA from 1 species